ACUCCUACGGGAGGCAGCAGUGGGGAAUAUUGCACAAUGGGCGCAAGCCUGAUGCAGCCAUGCCGCGUGUAUGAAGAAGGCCUUCGGGUUGUAAAGUACUUUCAGCAGUGAGGAAGGUGGAUAUGUUAAUAGCAUAUUCAUUUGACGUUAGCUGCAGAAGAAGCACCGGCUAACUCCGUGCCAGCAGCCGCGGUAAUACGGAGGGUGCGAGCGUUAAUCGGAAUUACUGGGCGUAAAGCGCAUGCAGGUGGUUUGUUAAGUCAGAUGUGAAAGCCCGGGGCUCAACCUCGGAAUUGCAUUUGAAACUGGCAAACUAGAGUACUGUAGAGGGGGGUAGAAUUUCAGGUGUAGCGGUGAAAUGCGUAGAGAUCUGAAGGAAUACCGGUGGCGAAGGCGGCCCCCUGGACAGAUACUGACACUCAGAUGCGAAAGCGUGGGGAGCAAACAGGAUUAAGAUACCCUGUAGGCUCUGC
rnacentral:rRNA from 1 species